UACUAGAGUAGCACUCGCAUAUCAAUAAGCGGAGGAAAAGAAACUAACAAGGAUUCCCCUAGUAACGGCGAGUGAAGCGGGAAGAGCUCAAAUUUGAAAUCUUAAAGGGUUUCCCUUUACGAAUUGUAGUUUAAAGAAGUGUUUUCUGUUGAGGUUUUGGUAAAAGUUCUUUGGAAUAGGACAUCAUAGAGGGUGAGAAUCCCGUAUUUGACCUUUACUUUCAACUUUGUGAUACACUUUCAAAGAGUCGGAUUGUUUGGGAAUGCAGUCCAAAAUGGGUGGUAAAUUUCAUCUAAAGCUAAAUAUUGGCGAGAGACCGAUAGCGAACAAGUACCGUGAGGGAAAGAUGAAAAGAACUUUGAAAAGAGAGUUAAACAGUACGUGAAAUUGUCAAAAGGGAAGCGUUUGACACCAGUGUUGUUUUUCUGAAAAUCAAUUAAAGAACUGUUUAUGCUAAGCUGUUUAGACUUUAUCAGCUAUCUGUUUAGUUUUGAGCUUUUCUUUAAUGCACUUUUCAGUUAACAAGUCAACAUCAAUUUCUUUUGCUGUAAAAAAGCUUGAGGAAGGUGGCUUGAGAUUCGUCUUAAGUGUUUAUAGCCUCUUGCCUAUGCAGUCGGAGAGAUUGAGGUCUGCAGCGUAGAUCCUUCGGGGCUAAAUGCAUUUGUGCUAAGUUAUAGCAUUUUAUAGACAACUUGUUGACUAUGAUUUGUCUUGUAGCUUACUCGCUUAUGUUAUUUUACCUACGCUUAGGAUGUUGAUCUCUCACAGUCGAGC
rnacentral:rRNA from 1 species